UACGGGGGGGGCAAGCGUUGUUCGGAAUUACUGGGCGUAAAGCGCGUGUAGGCGGCUCUUCAAGUCGAGUGUGAAAGCUCCAGGCUUAACCUGGGAAUUGCGCUCGAUACUGUUGAGCUAGAGUGUGGAAGGGGCUACUGGAAUUCCGUGUGUGGCGGUGAAAUGCGUAGAUAUACGGAGGAACACCUGCGGCGAAGGCGGGUAGCUGGGCCAACACUGACGCUGAGACGCGAAAGCUAGGGGAGCAAACGGG
rnacentral:rRNA from 1 species